AUGCUUGAUAUGGGAUUGGGUAAAUCUCUAUCAUAUGUAUUUGUUCCGGCUUAUUCUGCAAGCCAAAUCCUUUGUUUUGUUUUAUUUGUGGUAUUCGAGUUGCUUCGAAGUCAAAUGUUGAAUUCCAUACCUUUCAAGUGGUGUUCUCAUAUUUCUAUGGGAGUACUAAUCCUUUUGAUCAUCGAGAUUGUCAUGUCAAUUCUUUUCCAAUCCGGCGUGCUUCUCUUCAAGUGGAUCCGAUCAUUUUCAACAUUCGCAAGAUCAACUCUAAGUUUUCUCACCGGUGUUUGUUUCAUCCAUCCCAAGUUGUUUUUGUUUUUCCCGCCCUCCCACCCUUUUUCUUCAAGGACCCAGAUUUCUUAA
rnacentral:rRNA from 1 species